rnacentral:rRNA from 1 species
UACAGAGGGGGGCAAGCGUUGUUCGGAAUUACUGGGCGUAAAGGGCGCGUAGGCGGCCUGCUAAGUCGAACGUGAAAUCCCCUGGGCUCAACCCAGGAACUGCGUCCGAUACUGGUUGGCUUGAAUCCGGGAGAGGGACGUGGAAUUCCAGGUGUAGCGGUGAAAAUGCGUAGAUAUCGGGAGGAACACCAGCGGCGAAGGCGGCAAACUGGAUAGGCACUGACACUCAACAACGAAAAGCGUGGGGAGCAAACAGG